rnacentral:rRNA from 1 species
GACGAACGCUGGCGGCGUGCUUAACACAUGCAAGUCGAACGGUGAAGCGCCUUCCUUUUUGGUGGGUGUGGAUGAGUGGCGAACGGGUGAGUAACACGUGAGUAACCUGCCCCCUUCUUCUGGAUAACCGCAUGAAAGUGUGGCUAAUACGGGAUAUUCUGGGUCUGUCGCAUGAUGGGUCUGGGAAAGAUAUUGUUUCGGUGGGGGAUGGGCUCGCGGCCUAUCAGCUUGUUGGUGGGGUGAUGGCCUACCAAGGCGGUGACGGGUAGCCGGCCUGAGAGGGUGGACGGUCACACUGGGACUGAGACACGGCCCAGACUCCUAGGGGAGGCAGCAGUGGGGAAUAUUGCACAAUGGGCGCAAGCCUGAUGCAGCGACGCCGCGUGAGGGAUGGAGGCCUUCGGGUUGUGAACCUCUUUCGCCAGUGAAGCAGGCCUGCCUCGUUUGUGGGUGGGUUGACAGUAGCUGGAUAAGAAGCGCCGGCUAACUACGUG